CAUGGAGCAGCUUAAAGUGGAGCUUAAAAUAAAACAAAGUGAAAAAUGAGAAUAGGAACAAAAGGACAUGGGAUUCAGAAGAAAUGUGGCAUGGACUCAGUAAGUUUGCUUUUGAUCUCCUGAAACUUGACUUAAUCGGGAAGAAUUUCUUCCUUGAAAGUAGACAGUGUAGACACCAAGAAGGCAUGAUUAUGGCCCCUUGAGGAUAUCAGCAUGUGCUGAACAGAAAGGAUGACAAGAUGGACCUCUUCCCUCUGCAGAAGGUAUGUCAGCAGGAGAAAACACCCCAUCUCUAACAGAAACGGG